GAUGAACGCUAGCUACAGGCUUAACACAUGCAAGUCGAGGGGAAACGACAUCGAAAGCUUGCUUUUGAUGGGCGUCGACCGGCGCACGGGUGAGUAACGCGUAUCCAACCUGCCCACCACUUGGGGAUAACCUUGCGAAAGUAAGACUAAUACCCAAUGAUAUCCCACGAAGGCAUCCGAAUGGGAUUAAAGAUUUAUCGGUGAUGGAUGGGGAUGCGUCUGAUUAGCUUGUUGGCGGGGUAACGGCCCACCAAGGCAACGAUCAGUAGGGGUUCUGAGAGGAAGGUCCCCCCACAUUGGAACUGAGACACGGUCCAAAACUCCUACGGGAGGCAGCAGUGAGGAAUAUUGGUCAAUGGGCGAGAGCCUGAACCAGCCAAGUAGCGUGCAGGAUGACGGCCCUAUGGGUUGUAAACUGCUUUUAUAAGGGAAUAAAGUGGGUCACGUGUGACUUUUUGCAUGUACCUUAUGAAUAAGGACCGGCUAAUUCCGUG
rnacentral:rRNA from 1 species